rnacentral:sRNA from 1 species
CGGGUAAGGGCCGUCGGCGGCACACCUUGCUCGUGUGACAGCUCUGGAGAACACCCGCGCGGAUCAUCCCUCCCUUGCGGGGAGGCCAACCGUGCAUGGGUGCCACCUGCCACAUGGCCGCCCUGCUGUCGCGUCAGAGCAGUGACGAUGACGCCCCGG